UUGACCUCGGAUCAGGUAGGAUUACCCGCUGAACUUAAGCAUAUCAAUAAGCGGAGGAAAAGAAACCAACAGGGAUUGCCCCAGUAACGGCGAGUGAAGCGGCAACAGCUCAGAUUUGGAAUCUGGCUUUCGGGCCCGAGUUGUAAUCUGGAGAGGAUGCUUCUGGCGCGGUGCCUUCCGAGUUCCCUGGAACGGGACGCCGGAGAGGGUGAGAGCCCCGUACGGUUGGACACCUAGCCUCUGUGAAGCUCCUUCGACGAGUCCAGUAGUUUGGGAAUGCUGCUCAAAAUGGAAGGUAAAUUUCUUCUAAAGCUAAAUAUUGGCCAGAGACCGAUAGCGCACAAGUAGAGUGAUCGAAAGAUGAAAAGCACUUUGAAGAGAGAGUUAAAAAGUACGUGAAAUUGUUGAAAGGGAAG
rnacentral:rRNA from 1 species